rnacentral:misc_RNA from 1 species
UCUCCGUAGGUGAACCUGCGGAGGGAUCAUUACAGAGUACAUGCCCUACCGGGUAGAUCUCCCACCCUAUGUUAUUAUUACUUUGUUGCUUUGGCGGGCCGUUAGGCUCCGGCCCGACUACCGGCCCCGGCUGGUAAGCGCCCGCCAGAGGACCCAAAACCCUGAAUAUUAGUGUCGUCUGAGUGCUAUAUAAUAGUUAAAACUUUCAACAACGGAUCUCUUGGUUCUG